rnacentral:rRNA from 1 species
GCGUAAUCGAGAACUCCAGAGAUGAUUGGUGCCUUCGGGAACUCUGACACAGGUGCUGCAUGGCUGUCGUCAGCUCGUGUCGUGAGAUGUUGGGUUAAGUCCCGUAACGAGCGCAACCCUUGUCCUUAGUUACCAGCACGUUAUGGUGGGCACUCUAAGGAAGAACUGCCCGGGUGAACAACACCUGGAAGGAAAGGUGGGGAAUGACGUUCAAGUUCAUCAUGGCCCUUUACGAGACCAUGGGGCUUACACACGUUGCUACAAGUGGCUCGUGAUACAAGAGGGAUUGCCAACGCCGCGAGGGUGAGAGCAUAAUUCUCAACAAAUACCGAUUCUGCUAGUUCCGGAAUCGCAGUUCGUGCAAUCUCGAUCUUGCUGUUGAAGUCGGGAAUCGCUAGUA